AUUAAGAGCAAAACAAUCGCUCUAUAAGUUGUACAAAGGAGACCCAGAAUUCAAGCACUUCUGUGAUAGCGCCUCCCGCCAACAUUCAAAUAGGAUGCAUAUCACAACAAUCUAAUCUAAUAAAGUCUUGCGAACGCUUCAAGGAAAGAAACUUGUAAAUGGCAUCUAAAUGUCAAGCUAUUUUGAUACUCUGUGUCGUGCUGUAUUGCUUCUACCUCUCAGGUGCGCUGCUGUGUUAUCAAUGUCUGGGCACUGAAGAGAACAGCCAAUGUGAGGUGAACUAUACAAAACUGAUCAACUCUUCCACGAACUACACAAACUACAAAGACUAUUUUCAAAAUUGUUCUGAGUCCAAGUUCACCUGGGACAGAUGCAUGAUCGAAACGUCGAUUUCAAAUGGUCAGUAGACUUAUCUUGGGCGAGACUUCCAAAAAGCAAGUAACUAAACGAAUGUUUCAAAUG
rnacentral:sRNA from 1 species